rnacentral:rRNA from 1 species
UACGAACGCUGGCGGCGUGCUUAACACAUGCAAGUCGAACGGAAAGGCCCUGCUUUUGUGGGGUGCUCGAGUGGCGAACGGAUGAGUAACACGUGAGUAACCUGCCCUUGACUUUGGGAUAACUUCAGGAAACUGGGGCUAAUACCGGAUAGGAGCUCCUGCUGCAUGGUGGGGGUUGGAAAGUUUCGGCGGUUGGGGAUGGACUCGCGGCUUAUCAGCUUGUUGGUGGGGUAGUGGCUUACCAAGGCUUUGACGGGUAGCCGGCCUGAGAGGGUGACCGGCCACAUUGGGACUGAGACACGGCCCAGACUCCUACGGGAGGCAGCAGUGGGGAAUAUUGCACAAUGGGCGGAAGCCUGAUGCAGCAACGCCGCGUGCGGGAUGACGGCCUUCGGGUUGUAAACCGCUUUCGCCUGUGACGAAGCGUGAGUGACGGUAAUGGGUAAAGAAGCACCGGCUAACUACGUG